GAUGAACGCUGGCGGCGUGCCUAAUACAUGCAAGUCGAACGCUGAAGCUUGGUGCUUGCCCCGAGCGGUUGAGUUGCGCACGGGUGAGUAACGCGUAGGUAACCUGCCUCUUAGCGGGGGAUAACUAUUGGAAACGAUAGCUAAUACCGCAUAAAAGUCGAUAUCGCAUGAUAUUGAUUUGAAAGGUGCAAAUGCAUCACUAAGAGAUGGACCUGCGUUGUAUUAGCUAGUUGGUGAGGUAACGGCUCACCAAGGCGACGAUACAUAGCCGACCUGAGAGGGUGAUCGGCCAAACUGGGACUGGGACACGGCCCAGACUCCUACGGGAGGCAGCAGGAGGGAAUCUUCGGCAAUGGGGGCAACCCUGACCGAGCAACGCCGCGUGAGUGAAGAAGGGUUUCGGAUCGGAAAGCUCUGUUGUAAGAGGAGAAAGAGUGUGAGAGUGGAAAGUUCACACUGUGACGGUAACUGACCAGAAAGGGACGGCUAACUACGUG
rnacentral:rRNA from 1 species